rnacentral:rRNA from 1 species
UGGGGUAUAUUGGACAAUGGGCGAAAGCCUGAUCCAGCCAUGCCGCGUGUGUGAAGAAGGUCUUCGGAUUGUAAAGCACUUUAAGUUGGGAGGAAGGGCAGUAAGCGAAUACCUUGCUGUUUUGACGUUACCGACAGAAUAAGCACCGGCUAACUCUGUGCCAGCAGCCGCGGUAAUACAGAGGGUGCAAGCGUUAAUCGGAAUUACUGGGCGUAAAGCGCGCGUAGGUGGUUCGUUAAGUUGAAUGUGAAAGCCCCGGGCUCAACCUGGGAACGGCAUCCAAAACUGGCGGGCUAGAGUAGGGCAGAGGGUGGUGGAAUUUCCUGUGUAGCGGUGAAAUGCGUAGAUAUAGGAAGGAACACCAGUGGCGAAGGCGACCACCUGGGCUCAUACUGACACUGAGGUGCGAAAGCGUGGGGAGCAAACAGG